rnacentral:rRNA from 1 species
UAAUACGUAGGGGGCGAGCGUUGUCCGGAAUUACUGGGCGUAAAGGGCGUGUAGGCGGCCUGUUAAGUCAGGCGUGAAAACCCCGGGCUUAACCUGGGGACUGCGUUUGAAACUGGCGGGCUUGAGGGCAGGAGAGGAAAGUGGAAUUCCCGGUGUAGCGGUGAUAUGCGUAGAUACCGGGAGGAACACCAGUGGCGAAGGCGGCUUUCUGGACUGCACCUGACGCUGAGGCGCGAAAGCCAGGGGAGCGAACGGG